rnacentral:rRNA from 1 species
AACGAACGCUGGCGGCAUGCCUAACACAUGCAAGUCGAACGAGACCUCCGGGACUAGUGGCGCACGGGUGCGUAACGCGUGGGAACCUGCACUUAGGUUCGGAAUAACUCUCCGACAGGGGUGCUAAUACCGGAUAAUGUCUUCGGACCAAAGAUUUAUCGCCUUUGGAUGGGCACGCGUUGGAUUAGCUAGUUGGUAGGGUAAAAGCCUACCAAGGCGACGAUCCAUAGCUGGUCUGAGAGGAUGAUCAGCCACACUGGGACUGAGACGCGGCCCGGACUCCUACGGGAGGCAGCAGUGGGUAAUAUUGGACAAUGGGCGAAAGCCUGAACCAGCUAUGCCGCGUAAGUGAUGAUGGCCUUAGGGUUGUAAAGCUCUUUUACCCGGGAUGAUAAUGACGGUACCGGGAGAAUAAGCACCGGCUAACUCCGUG